rnacentral:rRNA from 1 species
AUACGGAGGGCGCGAGCGUUAAUCGGAAUUACUGGGCGUAAAGCGUACGUAGGCGGUUGGUUAAGUUAGAUGUGAAAGCCCCGGGCUUAACCUGGGAACUGCAUUUAAAACUGGCGAACUAGAGUUGAGUAGAGGGGAGUGGAAUUUCAGGUGUAGCGGUGAAAUGCGUAGAGAUCUGAAGGAACACCAGUGGCGAAGGCGACUCCCUGGACUCGAACUGACGCUGAGGUACGAAAGCGUGGGUAGCAAACGGGAUUAGAAACCCUAGUAGUCC